GGUCCUAAACUUGCCGCUGUUUUUGAUUAGAUUUACACAUGUAAGUAUCCGCACGCCAGUGAAUACGCCCUAAAAUAAAUACGGAGCAGGUAUCAGGCACAAACUUUAGCCCAAAACACCUAGCUUUGCCACACCCCCACGGGAAAUCAACAGUGAUAAACAUUAAGCUAUAAGCGACCCACCAACUAAAGCUUGACUUAGUUAUAAUCAAUUAGAGUCGGCCAAUCUCGUGCCAGCCGCCGCGGUUAUACGAGAGACUCAAAUCAGCCCCAACCGGCGUAAAUUGUGACUAGAAUACUAACCAACCAUAAAGGGAAAAACUAAAACUCAACUGUAAAACUCGAGCAAAAUGAAUCCCCUUUACCCAAGGACAUUUGAACUCACGAAUGCUAAGAAACAAACUAGGAUUAGAUACCCUACUAUGCUCAGCCAUAAAUAAGAUCAGCACCAAACAACUGAUCCGCCAGAGAACUACAAGCGAAAAGCCUGAAACUCAAAAGACUUGGCGGUGCCCCACACCCGACUUAGAGGAGCCUGUCCUAUAAUCGAUAACCCACGAUAAACCCGACCGCCCUUUGCCAAUCAGCCUAUAUACCGCCGUCGCAAACCUACCUCACAAGAGAACAAUCGUAGGUAUAAUAGCCAACACUAAAACGUCAGGUCAAGGUGUAGCUAAUAGUGCGGAAGAGAUGGGCUACAUUCUUUAAACCUAAAGCAAACAAAAAGAACAAUGAAACACCUUCUAAACGGUGGAUUUAACAGUAAGCCCGGCAAGAAAGCCGAACUUAAGCCCGCCCUGGGGCGCGCACACACCGCCCGUCACCCUCCU
rnacentral:ncRNA from 1 species